UACGUAGGGCGCAAGCGUUGUCCGGAAUUAUUGGGCGUAAAGAGCUCGUAGGCGGCCUGUUGCGUCCGCUGUGAAAUCCCGGGGCUUAACCCCGGGCGUGCAGUGGAUACGGGCAGGCUGGAGGCAGGCAGGGGAGAACGGAAUUCCCGGUGUAGCGGUGAAAUGCGCAGAUAUCGGGAGGAACACCGGUGGCGAAGGCGGUUCUCUGGGCCAUUACUGACGCUGAGGAGCGAAAGCGUGGGGAGCGAACAGG
rnacentral:rRNA from 1 species